ACCAUGACCCACUAGGAAUCACUGGGUCUUCAGAAGGGACACAACUGCACAUCAGUGAGAGCUGGACUCAGGACUUGGGGUGAGGGGAGGAGCUGGUGGAGAUGAGGUUGGCAGCACUCCACAGCAGCAGAUAGUUCUUUUCCAAGUAUUUUCUCAGCCCUGGGGUCAGAAGAAACAACAAAGCUAGUCAAGAUGUGGUGGGACCAGGCCUGCACAUUUCACAGCAUUGGUAGGAAAUGCCAUCAGUGUUAACUAACAAGGACCUGCUGUGUAGCACAGGGAAAUCUACUCAGUAUUCUGUAAUAACCUAU